UACGGAGGGUGCAAGCGUUGUCCGGAAUCACUGGGCGUAAAGGGCGCGUAGGCGGCUCAUGAAGGCUGUGGUGAAAGUCCGGGGCUCAACCUCGGAUCGGCCGUGGCGACUCGUGGGCUGGAGCACUGUAGAGGCGGGUGGAAUUCCGGGUGUAGCGGUGGAAUGCGUAGAGAUCCGGAAGAACACCGGUGGCGAAGGCGGUGAGCUGGGCAGUUGCUGACACUGAGAUGCGAAAGCGUGGGGAGCGACUGGG
rnacentral:rRNA from 1 species